rnacentral:misc_RNA from 1 species
AAGUCGUAACAAGGUUUCCGUAGGUGAACCUGCGGAAGGAGUGAACCUUCAGUCGUACUCGUACGUCCGUUAGAAAAAGCAGCAAUCCCUGGUAAAUCAUCGCCGAACAGUUUUCGAUUCAGGGACGUCUGCAAGGAGCGUGCAUGUUGUGCGUGUAAGUGGCCUGGCAUCCCCAAGCAGUUAGUGUCUGAAAGUGUCACUAACGUUAGUGUCUGAAAGUGUCACUAACAUGUGUAAGGAUGACGCAGUCACGAUCGUUGGAGGCCCACACGGCCGACGACCGGGUCACUGGGUGCAAGCCCCCUUAUCACACCCCUGCUCUAUCUAUGGUGAUCCUGCGGGACGUCCUGCGGUCGAACGCCGAAACCGAACAACUGUUAACAAUGGAUAUCUUGGUUCUC